AAUAAUUUAAAACAUUUUAAUGGCUUAUUAAAUAAUAGAUACAUAUCCAUACAAGAGUAAAGAAAUUAAAAUGCACAAAUAUAUAAAUAUAAAUAACUUAAUCUCAUUUAUAUAAUUCAUUUAGUGACUUAACAUCCAUAAUUCAUUAAGUAGUGACAACAUCCAUAAUCUUGAAGUUCCAAACGGAAAAAAAAUCAAUGUAGAUCAAACAUUGAAAAACUAAAACAUAAACAUUAGUAUAGUGGUUAAACAUACAAAACAUUAUGGCAAA
rnacentral:lncRNA from 1 species